UAUUCAGUUGUCAUAAGUAAAUAGUAACUUCAAAAUACUUGAAUGUUGAAUGAAAAACCUCGUAAAAAGGGCGAGAAAUAAGAAAAUAGAAGCUGAAUAGGGAGCUCUGUGAAAGUAUUUGUGAACUGGUUUUAGAAAACACCAUUUUUUUUGUCAAACUGGGACUCAAAUAUUCUGCAGUGGCAACAGAAGAAAAAACGAAAACAGAUCAUCGAAAAAGUAAAAAUGUUCAGUUUUCCAAUAUUGUGGGUUUCAAGAUUAUGAGGAAACUCUGGAUUAUCUUCUUGUGCACAGUGUAUUUUAAUUGUUUGCUUGCAAAGGGAAAGUACUGCCAGUUUGAUUCUUGCAAAAAUGGUAGGUUUAUAUAA